rnacentral:rRNA from 1 species
GUUUACGGCCACACCGGCCUGAGUACGCCUGAUCUCGUCCGAUCUCGGAAGCUAAGCAUGGUCGGGCCUGGUUAGUACUUGAAUGGGAGACCGCCUGGGAAUACCAGGUGCUGUAAGCU